AAGGCCCCCCCCCUGCGAAGGGUUACCUCCAGUGGCCCCCGGAUGAAGGCGGUUUUUCCUGGGCCUACCAUUUUCGGGGAAUAAAGGGGGGGCAAGACUGGUGUCAGCCGCCGCGGUAACACCAGCCCCUCGAGUGGUAGGGAUGAUUAUUUGGCCUAAAGCGUCCGUAGCCUGCCGGGUAAGUCUCCCGUUAAAUCCAGCGUCUCAAGCGUUGGACUGCGGGAGAUACUGCACGGCUAGAGAGUGGGAGAGGUGUACGGUAUUCUGGGGGUAGGGGCGAAAUCCUUUGAUCCCCGGAGGACCACCAGUGGCGAAGGCUGUACACUAGAACACGUCUGACGGUCAGGGACGAAAGCUGGGGUAGCGAACCGGAUUAGAUACCCGGGUAGUCCCAGCCGUAAACGAUGCGCGCUAGGUGUUGGGUCGGCCACGAGCCGCCCCAGUGCCGCAGGGAAGCCGUUAAGCGUGCCGCCUGGGGAGUACGGCCGCAAGGCUGAAACUUAAAGGAAUUGGCGGGGGA
rnacentral:rRNA from 1 species